rnacentral:rRNA from 1 species
CCUACGGGAGGCAGCAGUGAGGAAUAUUGGUCAAUGGCCGGAAGGCUGAACCAGCCAUGCCGCGUGAAGGUCAGUGCCCUAUGGGCGUUAAACUUCUUUUGUGCGGGAGCAAUAAUGGUCACGUGUGGCCAGACGAGAGUACCGUACGAAUAAGCAUCGGCUAACUCCGUGCCAGCAGCCGCGGUAAUACGGGGGAUGCAAGCGUUAUCCGGAUUUAUUGGGUUUAAAGGGUGCGUAGGCUGUGAGGUAAGUCAGCGGUGAAAUGCCCCCGCUCAACGGGGUGAAGUGCCAUUGAUACUGCCUUGCUGGAAUGCGGAUGCCGUGGGAGGAAUGUGUGGUGUAGUGGUGGAAUGCAUAGAUAUCACACAGAACACCGAUUGCGAAGGCAUCUCACGAAUCCGCGAUUGACGCUGAUGCACGAAAGCGUGGGUAUCAAACAGGAUUAGAUACCCGGGUAGAC